CACACCGCCCGUCACACCAUGGGAGUGGGUUGUACCAGAAGCAGGCAGUCUAACCGCAAGGGGGACGCUUACCACGGUAUGAUUCAUGACUGGGGUG
rnacentral:rRNA from 1 species